UCAGCCAGGUUUGAGUCCGUGUAAAAUAAAAAAAAUAAAAUAAUAAGCUGUAGUCUAGGCUACUGAUUCAUGUUCUUCAACAUCAACCAAUCACAAGCCGCUGCUACUACUAGAAUCGGGAUUGUUGAAUAAAUAAAUGUUUGCUUAAAUCUUUUGACCUGAGAACUUAAAUAAAAACAGUAGCUAAAUGGAUUGGAUUGUAUGUCCUGUUCUAAUUAAAAUCAUUGUGAGAAGUUAGUUGAAUCAAGAGGCAUUCAGCCAUGGCCUUGUAAACAUUUAUUUUGGUUCGCUAGCUAGCCAAGGUUAGCAUAACUAGCUAGUUACUUCUGUACAAAUAGUUUUUUUGCUGUUAUCUAAAGAAACGCCAGGGAAUGAACUUUCUGCAAAGUUUCCUUGAAAAUAGUUGCUCAAAGCCGUGCGCAUAGAGUGCACCACGAUAGAGACAGACAGCGCUACUGAGACCUACUGCACAUAGCACGAGUUUAGAGCGUGUUUGUGUGUUGCGCUUAAAAGCGUCCGUGUGGAAACACUUGCCCUUUAAAAGGGUCCGUGUGCUGAAGAAAUAGAGAUGUGAUUUAAUGGUGUACAUAAAAUAAAAUAAAAAAUAGAUCACAAAAAUAGAUUUGGACCCAGAAGGGUUAUUCCUAUGCAAGUCCAUAUUUUCAUACUGUAGCUUCUGUGCAUAACAGGGCUGUGUAUGUGUAUAUAUAUGUGUAUGUAUGUGUACAUAUAUAUAUAUAUAUAUAUAUAUCUAUAUGUGUUAAAACUGAUGUACGAUCACACUGAAAAAGAUUUGAUUCCACCUAGAAGGGUUAUGCAAAGGUAGGUCAUAUUUUUUUGUGCUUAGCGAGGGACUUUUCCCGGAAGCAAUUCAACUUUUAUGUCUCAUCUCACCUUUAAUUCAAGUCAUUACCCUUCCCACAUGAAAAAACACAUUAUCGUUCAGACACGGAGGGGGGAAUCUAAAACAUACAAUAAAAAUUUUGGAAUCAAUUUCCUCUUUUUUUUGGAUGUGAUUAAUUUCCCCCUCAGUAAAUAUGGCCGUUCAUGCACAGAAUACUGAUCACAGAGGCUUUGUCCCAAAUAGUACUACAUUCUCUACAUAGUGUACACUACUUGACCAGCCCUAUAGGCGUAGCUUGUUUUACUUCUGCAGGGAGGAAGGGAGCGGAGGCCUGAGGGGAAAAUUUAAAUGACCUUAAUCUAAAACGGGGCUAAAUGGGGAGCAGACACAAGCAAUUUGUUUUAUCUUUUCUUUUUGAGACCGUUUCCAUAUCAACCUGAUGGAUCAUCCAUUAAUCCUUUUCACGCGUUCUUAACAAACUGUUUUUUCUCACACACUCCGAGAGCCAUUACCCCUUAGGCUACGUCCCAAACGACACCCUGCUCCAUAAACAAUGCACUACUUUUGACAAGAGCACCAACGGGCCCAGGUGAAAAGUAGUGCGCUUAUAUAGGGGGAAUAGAGUGGCAUUUUUGGGACACACAUGUAGUCUGGGUUUUAUCGAUCACAAGAUGGCUGACAUUAGCAUUCUGCACCAUGGCAUUUCGUAGGUAGCCCCCCCCCCCCCUUCCUUGUCAUCAUAUUCCUGGGGGGGUUUGCCUCCAAAAAAACAUUUUCAAAUCUCAGCAGCGAAGACAGCACUGACAGGUGUAUUUGUGUUAGUCUACUGGCAGUGGGUGGGAAGAAGUCCUAGUUGGAAAAGUCAAGGUCAAGCCACUCUGACAAAGCAGUUGAAAGUUUUCAGGGCUUCAGUUGAAGAGCAUCUGCAGAGUGGCAGGGAAUUGGUCCCAUUGUGAACGAAAGCCCUUUCUAAAUGUUUCUUGCCCUCUUGGAAGAGAGGACAUUUUUUAAAGAGGCUACACAAUUCUCUUAAGCUGAAGCUGAAUGCUCAUUCUUUUCAAGACCGCUUCAAUCUUGUGGCCGUUGACACUUGAACCCCCCCCCACUGCCUUUUGAUUGAAGUAAAGGGCAAGUGUGAAACUGGCAGUCGUGGACAAAGAAUGGAUGGUGAUGGCUCAGGGGCACUGAGCCUAUUGCUUUACCUCACAUUAACUCAUCACGUCUACACAUUUCUGCUGCAAAAUGUUGCAGCGUAGAUGAGAGUUGUAAUGCAUCUUUUUUUUCCCCCGGAAGGUGCUAUUGACAAAUGUCAAGAUCUGUAUUGCUUCUUGGAAUUUUAGGAUGGAAUUCCACAGGGUCUUUCUAAUUUACAUGCAGCAUAGCCAUAAUGCCUGUCACUUUUCUGCUGCCAUAAUUCUUAUCUCCCACCUUCUUUCUACCUUGUGUACCAAGCUGAAGCACUUUGAUUUGAAAGAAAUGUGCAGACGUUUACAUUUUUAUCAGCAGACAGAAAGAAAGAACCCGAAGUAACUAAACAAACAAACAUCAUGGUCCAUCAAGUUACGUAAAAGUACCGAUUAAAAAAAAAAAAAAAAUUUAAUUGAAAAAUUAAUUGGAAUUCUAAUGAGCCUAGCUCUCUCUGAGGCGAAAGCUCUUGAAGGGAUGUGGUUUCUUAUCGGUCGAAGGGAGAACUAAAACCCAGACGCAGCCUGGGCUAAGUGAAAGACGUGAGGGUUAUUAGCUCACUGAGUGACUGUUGAAAGUGAAAGUCUCUUUUUCUCAUAAGGAGGUUGAGAACUUAAGUGCAGGCAGUAGCAGAGGAAAUUAGGUCCACAUAAUUGUCCUGAGCAAUUUUCUGAAGAUCAUUCACGCAGAUUUGUUUUUUAGGGGACUAGACUUGUCUUGUUUUUAGGACCCGACAUUCUGUUCGUGUGCAUUUUUCUAAAAUCAUUGGACUAGACGGUCCUCCAUCAUCCAUUAAUCCUUUUGACGCGUUCUUAACAAACUGUUUUUUCUCACACACUCCGAGAGCCAUUACCCCUUAGGCUACGUCCCAAACGACACCCUGCUCCAUAAACAAUGCACUACUUUUGACAAGAGCACCAACGGGCCCAGGUGAAAAGUAGUGCGCUAUGUAGGGGAAUAGAGUGGUCCUUGGUGUGAGGGGAUCCACAAGUCGUAGAAUUUCUCCCCCCUAAAACAACACCUGCUGAACAAACAAAGAAUGAUUCAUUAGAUGAGCAGAAGAUAUUUGCGGUCGUCUGCAUAUUCAUUCGCUGCUGAUUUAUCCCAUUACUGUGCCGUCGAUUAGCAUUUACAGCAGCAUGCAUGCAUGGCAUAAUGGUCAAGGUCUAUGUGGACGUCCUCCAGGCUCUGCUGUGUCCACCAAGCAUCCCAAUGAGGCGUCUCGUUCUCUCAGGGGAGAUAUUGAUCAGCUGAACAGAUAAAAGCUGCUGGAAUCAGCUGGUGGCGUCUGUUAGACGAAGAGCCAUGCCCAAUUGGGAGGAUGGACCAGGGCACUGAUUAGCCUAACCAAAAGAGAAGAAAGAUCAACAUGGCAAACACGACUGAUUAUAACCAUAGAAAAAUACAGACAUAAAAGGGCACUGAUUAGGUCAUAACCAAAGAAGAUGAAAUAACAGAUGUGCCAGGGAACUGAUUAGGUCAUAACCAAAGAAGAUUAAAUAACAGAUGUGCCAGGGAACUGAUUAGGUCAUAACCAAAGAAGAUGAAAUAACAGAUGUGCCAGGGAACUGAUUAGGUCAUAACCAAAGAAGAUGAAAUAACAGAUGUGCCAGGGCACUGAUUAGGUCAUAACCAAAGAAGAUGAAAUAACAGAUGUGCCAGGGCACUGAUUAGGUCAUAACCAAAGAAGAUGAAAUAACAGAUGUGCCAGGGCACUGAUUAGGUCAUAACCAAAGAAGAUGAAAUAACAGAUGUGCCAGGGCACUGAUUAGGUCAUAACCAAAGAAGAUGAAAUAACAGAUGUGCCAGGGCACUGAUUAGGUCAUAACCAAAGAAGAUGAAAUAACAGAUGUGCCAGGGCACUGAUUAGGUCAUAACCAAAGAAGAUGAAAUAACAGAUGUGCCAGGGCACUGAUUAGGUCAUAACCAAAGAAGAUGAAAUAACAGAUGUGCCAGGGCACUGAUUAGGUCAUAACCAAAGAAGAUGAAAUAACAGAUGUGCCAGGGCACUGAUUAGGUCAUAACCAAAGAAGAUGAAAUAACAGAUGUGCCAGGGCACUGAUUAGGUCAUAACCAAAGAAGAUGAAAUAACAGAUGUGCCAGGGCACUGAUUAGGUCAUAACCAAAGAAGAUGAAAUAACAGAUGUGCCAGGGCACUGAUUAGGUCAUAACCAAAGAAGAUGAAAUAACAGAUGUGCCAGGGCACUGAUUAGGUCAUAACCAAAGAAGAUGAAAUAACAGAUGUGCCAGGGCACUGAUUAGGUCAUAACCAAAGAAGAUGAAAUAACAGAUGUGCCAGGGCACUGAUUAGGUCAUAACCAAAGAAGAUGAAAUAACAGAUGUGCCAGGGAACUGAUUAGGUCAUAACCAAAGAAGAUGAAAUAACAGAUGUGCCAGGGAACUGAUUAGGUCAUAAACAAAGAAGAUGAAAUAACAGAUGUGCCAGGGCACUGAUUAGGUCAUAACCAAAGAAGAUGAAAUAACAGAUGUGCCAGGGAACUGAUUAGGUCAUAGAAUAAGAAAUAACCCAAUGUCAAACUGGCAUACAAAGGGAAAACCGUAUCAGUAAUCUAGGCCUGGUGCGUAUUGUCUCGGCUUAAUCAGAAGCAUGUCAUCGGUUAUGCAACAAUAAGAUAAUUAUGUCUGUCAGAUCUGUUAGAUUGUAAUUAGUCUGAAGUUUUAGGGGGAAAAGUAGGCCUUUCAACUUCCUAUAAAACUUCCUCAUAUUCCUAGUUAUUCAUCUUCUUUGCUUCCCGGUCGUGUUCCGUUAUAGUUUCUGCUCUAAUCUAAGUUUUUUUUUUGUUUUUGUGUCACGGAUGUUAAUUACAAACAAAUGUUUGUCGCUAAUAAAGACUUCCAGGCAUCAGCCUGGUUUGAUAAAUGGGUGAUGGGUUAUAAUGUGAUUUACUGGCUCACAGAGAUAGUAUGUUGUUUUGGUUUAAGUAUAUGACUGUGAUGUAUGUUGUACAAUUUAUUCUUCUCUUAUCUCUAACUAUUGUUAAGUCUAUAACAGGGUCCCAUUGGGUUUGUCGUCGAACAGCUGUUUUUCCACAUUAACUUCCUAGCUUCCAUCCAUGGAUUUACAUGGGUUUACAUGGAUUUACAUGGGUUUACAUGGAUUGACAUGGAUUUAAAUGGGUUUACAUGGAUUUACAUGGGUUUACAUGGAUUGACAUGGAUUUACAUGGAUUGACAUGGAUUUAAAUGGGUUUACAUGGGUUUACAUGGAUUGACAUGGAUUGACAUGGAUUUAAAUGGGUUUACAUGGGUUUACAUGGAUUGACAUGGAUUUACAUGGGUUUACAUGGAUUUAAAUGGAUUUAAAUGGGUUUACAUGGGUUUACAUGGGUUUACAUGGAUUUACAUGGAUUGACAUGGAUUCAAAUGGGUUUACAUGGGUUUACAUGGAUUGACAUGGAUUUACAUGGGUUUACAUGGAUUUACAUGGGUUUACAUGAAUUAACAUGGAUUUAAAUGGGUUUACAUGGGUUUACAUGGAUUGACAUGGAUUUACAUGGGUUUACAUGGGUUUACAUGAAUUAACAUGGAUUUAAAUGGGUUUACAUGGGUUUACAUGGAUUUACAUGGGUUUACAUGGAUUCACAUGGGUUGACAUGGAUUUAAAUGGGUUUACAUGAUUUUACAUUGAUUUAAAUGGGUUUACAUGGGUUUACAAGGGUGCAGUUCUAGACUGUAAUGUGCACUAUUUGCCCAUUUUUAAAUUUGGAAUGUAGCAGUGGGUGGAAACUAAGUAUAUGUCCCAAAUGGCACCCUAUUCCCAUAGUGCACUAUUUUUUUUUGGACCAAUUCCUGGUUAAAAGUAGUGCACUAUAUAGGGCUCCAUUUGGGACACAAGAUCUA